GCCCCUGACCAUUUCUUCCACCCACACAUAUCACGAAAACUCAGAGUUUCAAGUGAAGGAAAUGCUUGACCAGUCCCAAAUAACUCAAAACCCACAACUUCCACUGCAUUUAGGCCUUGAAUAAACAACUCCUUAAGUGAUGAUAGUUGUCCCAGUGUCGGUAUUGAUGUACAUCUCUUACAACCCCUUAUUUCAAGCUUUUGCAAGCGUCGAAACGAGGGAGCCCCGACCCAGUUUGGAAACUCCAGUCCCCCAUAUGACCUGAUUUGCAGUUGUAUCAACUUUUCAUCACAAGGCUUCAACUCAUUAAGGACCUCUUUUUCAAGCAUGUCAUUUCGAGAAUCAUUUAGCUCAUCACCCCAUACAAGCUCUAACUCACUAAGCCUUUUUUCUGAAAAGUUCGCCUCACGUGCAUAAAUUGCAUUUUGCACUUUUUCCAAACCUACAAUAGAAAUUUUCCCAUAUAGAUUCUCAAAGUCUUUAAGUUUGGCUAUUUCAAUUCCCCUUUCACUUUCGAUAAUGAUUUUCGAGAGAGUAAUUUGUAGGCUUUUCAACUUGCUAAUCUCUAACAGCAUCUGAAAUGAAAGCAGGGUGCCCCUAACGUCAAGAUGUUGCAAGUUCUUCAGAUUUAGGAAAUUGUUGGGCAACUCAGUUAAUUUAUCACAACCAAACAGGAUCAAUGUUUGUAAAUUAACAAGAUUGCAAACCUUUUCCGGUAAAUGUGUGAUAUGAGUUUGAGAUAGGUUAAGAUAUCUCAAGUGCCUCAAAGUACCAAUGGACUCCGGUAACUCACUUAUUUUAAAGCCGCUCAAACUUAGAACCCUUAAUAAUGGUAACUUAGGAAGCAAGUCGGUCAGAAUCUGAUUGGAUAAGCAAAUUUUUUUUCGCCAAGGUUCCACCUCGCCAACAAACGUUGCCAAGAAUGUCCUCAGACAUUUGGCGUUUUCAAGUGCCUUGAGCUUCUCGUAAGCUACAUAUUCCUCACAAACAAAUGACAUAUGGCAAUACUUGUCUAGCUUCAUCUUCUUAAUAUUCUUCCCUGACUCGUUGUCUAACCUUAAAUAAAACUCGGUAGCAACAGAUGUCGCCAAGUCAUUCAUGAGGUCAUGCAUCACAAAUAAUGAUUCAUUAUUAGGCGCACGUUGAAAAAACGACCUUGACAACAACUCGUCAAAGAAUUUGUGACCCGAUUGUUGUUCUUCUGUUGAACCAUUUGGAGUUACCUGCUGCAAGAACCCUUCUGCCAUCCAAAGUAAAAUCAGAUCCUCCUUAUCAAACAGGAAGUCCUUGGGAAACAAUGAGCAGUAUGAAAACAAACGCUUCAAAGGUGCCGAAAGAUCAUGAUAGCUAAGUCUCAGGGCUGGGAUAAUUUUAUCUUCAACAGGUAAUUUCCAUAUCUCACUUUCUAACACUCCCUUCCAUGAGUCUUCAUCUUUUUUUGUCUUCAGUGAUGUACCAAGUGCGAUCAAUGCCAGAGGCAACCCAUCACAUUUCUUCACAAUACCUUCACCAUGUGGUUUAAGUGACAAGUGUGAAUCGAAAUUUCUUACGCCUAAUGCAUGUAGAGCAAACAAAGAUAAAGCAUCAUCAUCUGACAGGCUCUCCAGAUGCUUGUAUAGAGAAUUGUAACCCAGCUUUUUUAGUAAUAUAUCCUUUCGUGCUGUUACUAUGAUUUUACUUCCUGGGGAACAUGUAUAAAAGGGACUGACGAGGGUUUCCCAAUCCUCACGACUCUCACUCCACACAUCAUCUAACACCAAUAAAAAUCUUUUUCGUGUUAGGUGAUCUCUAAGAGCUUCUUGAAGCUUAUUAAAAUUUUUAUGUUCCUCCUUUACCUCACCUCCAAGAGCUAUAAAGAUCUCUUUGCUUCUAACAGAAACAUCAAACUCAUCUGAGAUGCAAAUCCACGCCUUGAGUUCGAAGUGAUUCUUGACUUGCUUUUCGUUAUACAAAAGCCCGGCCAGAGUAGUUUUUCCAACCCCACCCAUACCAAUUAUGGGAACAAUGCUAUAGUUUUUAUCACGUGGUUCACCAUCAUCCAAUAACAAUAAUUGUUGGACCAAUGCCUCUUUCUCAGCCUGGCGUCCAACAAUGCUAGAUGGAUCAAAAACAGAGAUCUUGUAGUUUAGUGGAAAUAUCAUCCAACUGGGCAAGCAUUGUAGUAUUCCGUGAGAAGUUUGUGCAAUAAGACGGGAUUAGGUUUAUUACCGUGCUGGUGAUGCCUUCUUCUUCUGACUCGUGGGUGGACUCACUUUGCAUGGCUUCAGUCAGCCAACCAUCGAGUACGUCAUCGAUGUCAUAAGCCAGAUGCUGGAGCUCAUUAAGCCAUUCUUUCACAAAAGUAUCAGUAAUCUCCUUUCUAGAAGCAUCAGCAAGCACACGUUGGAUCUGCCUUAAGGAUCUCUGCCAUUUCUUGAUAUCAGCAUCAAUUCCGUUGUAGCGAGCAAUGCUUUUCAAAGCUGCAGAGCCCAGCUUCUCAAAGAGCACUUCCAGGAAGGGAGAAAGCACGACUUCAGCCAUUAGUUAUGAAAUUAUGAGAGAUUGUAGAUGAAAAGGGUGGGUGAUGUUGUGAAGAGUUGUGGAUAGUUGUUUCAGUCGUUUAUGAUGUUAAAUUAAGUCUGGAGUAUUAUUAUUGUCUUGGUCAACCAUGGAAAUCAGUAUCAGCGAAUAAGAACAAUGGAAAUCAGGAUCGGCCAAUAAGAAAAAAGAUGUAGCAGAUAACCUUAUCCGAAAACCACAGUACUUUUCUUUGU
rnacentral:lncRNA from 1 species